ACGGGGUGCAGCAGGCGCGAAAACUUUACAAUGCGGGAAACCGCGAUAAGGGGACACCGAGUGCCAGCAUUUAUGUUGGCUGUCCACAUGUGUAAACGGCAUGUGUUAGCAAGGGCCGGGCAAGACCGGUGCCAGCCGCCGCGGUAACACCGGCGGCCCGAGUGGUAAUCACUUUUAUUGGGUCUAAAGGGUCCGUAGCCGGUUUGAUCAGUUCUUCGGGAAAUCUGACAGCUCAACUGUUAGGCUUCCGGGGAAUACUGUCAGACUUGGGACCGGGAGAGGUAAGAGGUACUACAGGGAUAGGAGUGAAAUCUUGUAAUCCCUGUGGGACCACCAGUGGCGAAGGCGUCUUACCAGAACGGGUCCGACGGUGAGGGACGAAAGCUGGGGGCACGAACCGGAUUAGAUACCCGGGUAGUCCCAGCCGUAAACGAUGUUCGCUAGGUGUCAGGGGCGGUGCGACCGCUUCUGGUGCCGUAGGGAAGCCGUGAAGCGAACCACCUGGGAAGUACGGCCGCAAGGCUUAAUUUUAAAGGAAUUGGCGGGGGAGCAC
rnacentral:rRNA from 1 species